rnacentral:lncRNA from 1 species
UUAUUUAUGUGUAUUUUAUAUAUAUAAUAAUGAAAAAAAAAAAUUUUUUGAACUUAUACAACAGUUUAAUGACUACUGUUUUGGUUAUGAAGAUUUAUUUAUACUUUUUUAUUUAUUGUGUAAAAUUAAUAACAAAAAAAAUGUAGAAAUUAUUCGUACCAUGUUAGCUAUCUUUGAGAAAUAUUAUUAUAAACUUGACACUAGUGUUAUGUUUACAUAUCCAUUAUCUAAUUUGUUGUUCAACCCGUACAAUAAUUUACAUACAGCUAUAAACAAUUUACCAUUAAUAUAUAAAAUUAAAUUAAUUACAACUGAUAACACAUUUUUAAAAAAAAAAAAAUAUACAUUACAAACUGUUUUAAGUACUAAAUUAAAAGAAGAUGUUGAAAAAAAUAAAGACCAUGUAAUAAUAGAGUCACAAAAAAAAGCUGAUUUGGAUGAAGUUUCUGUCGAACAGGGUAUAAACGAACAGACAACUGUAAGUACAACCAUGGGUAGUGAGCAAGAUGGUGCAAAGGUCGUAGGUAACAAACAUGAUGACAAGAAAACUAUAACAAUGGAAUUUGAUAACAUCCAAAUUACAACUGAGCCUCCCUACGAAGAAGUCAACCUUUUAACAAGAAUUCACGAAAAUGAAGCAGAAAAGGCACUAGAAUCUUUGCAAGAAGUUGAUAUGGAAAAACAUGAGAAACUGAUUACAAAGGAUAAAGUACAUUUUAUUAAUAUGAAUACAAAAAUUGAAAAAAAAAAAAUAAAAAAAAAUGAAAUACGAUUUGAAGGAUUAAAAUUAAAAAAUACAUUAAUUAGUCAAAUAAAAAAUAAAGUAGAAAAAAAACAAAUAAAUACGUUUGAAGCAAAAGAAAUAUUAACUAUUUUUAUAUAUGAUAAAGAAUUAUCAAAUAAAAAUUUUUAUAUAAAAUCUUUUAUUGAUGAUGUUAUAGAUUAUUUUAUAGUUAAUGAACAAGCCUUAUUAAACAAUGUGUUAAUAACCUUUGCAUUUAUGGAUACAGUUAAUUAUUAUAAUAACAAAAAAUUUAACAAAGUUAUUGAAAAUGUGUUAAAAAUGUAUAUAAAGGGUAUGAGUAAUAUAAGCAAACAGGAUUUAUGUGAUUAUGUGAAUAUACAAACGCAGUAUAUUGAUGGUAUGAAUUUGAUAACAGACACGCAUUUGGAAAGCAAUACCAUAUUAGAAAGAAGUGAAAAUCUAAAAUUGAUUGCAAAAACAAAACAAGAACAGAGACAUAGAUGUCCCAGUCAGUUACUAGACUUAUUGUAUACUCAACAAUAUACAUAUAAUUUUGUUUUAUAUAAUGAUGAAACAAAAUUUUAUAAUAAUAAUUUUGGUUAUAUAUGUAACAGAAUUUUAAAAAAUUUUUUUUUUCUAAUAAGCUAUAUGUUAAAAAUGCCAUUUUUAAAAUUACACAUAAUACAAUCAUAUAUAAACUUAUUUAAUAUGUUUUUAAAUAUUUUUAUAAAAGAUAAAACAAUUGUUCGCUACUUUGACAUAUCUGAUAUUGCUUUUAUUUGUACAUGUUUUUUGAAAAAAAAAAUUAUUCAAGAAGAGUUAAUUAAUAAAUUAUUUAUUGUCGUGGAUUAUAAAAUUAGUUCGUCGUUAAAUUGUCUUAAGGAGGAUUAUAACAAUAAAUACAACAUCGUAACAGGUCAAGGAAUUACAAAUGAAGAAAAUGACGUUAUAAUUAACCAUGAAAACACAAAUAACAAAACAAAUAAGACAAAUUACCCUCUUUCUAUAAAUGACCUCCUUACUUUUAUACAUUUUAUAUUUUUUUUUAAUUUAAAAUUUAGUAUAUUGUACAAACAUAUAAUGUUAAUAUGUUUUAACAAAAUUGUUGAACUGGAUAAUACACAACAACUGAUAUUUUUUAAUAGCAUUGAAGGCAUAAAAAAAAAAAACUAUAUGAAUUGUGAACAACGAAUACUUGACUAUUUUAUGUAUGAAAAGCAUUUGGAUUUUUUUUUAAAAAAAAAUAAAAACAUUCAAAAAGAAUCUCUUGGUUAUCUGUUUGUUAAUUAAUUGGGAAAAAAUAUACAAUCACUGAGGUUUUUGCGGUAGGUGUGAAGAUAAAAUAAAAUAAAAAAAAAAAAAAAAAAAAAAAAAAAG